rnacentral:SRP_RNA from 2 species
GCCGGGCGUGGUGGCGCACGCCUGUAGUCCCAGUUACUUGGGAGGCUGAGGCAGGAGAAUUGCUUGAACCCAGGCGGCGGAGGUUGCAGUGAACUGAGAUUGUGCCACUGCACUCCAGCCUGGGCGACAGAGUGAGACUCUGUCUCAA